rnacentral:rRNA from 1 species
GUAGUUAUGUGCCCAGGGGUUCGGAAUAGCCACGGGAAACUGUGGGUAAUGCCGAAUAACAUCUCCGGAUCAAAGGUGUGAUUCCGCCCUUGGAGCAGACUGCGUCCUACUAGCUAGUUGGUGGGGUAAUGGCCCACCAAGGCGACAAUGGGCAGCGGGUGUGAGAGCAUGACCCGUCUCACUGGGACUGAGACACUGCCCAGACACCUACGGGUGGCUGCAGUCGAGAAUCUUCGGCAAUGGGCGAAAGCCUGACCGAGCGACGCCGCGUGCGGGAUGAAGGCCCUCGGGUUGUAAACCGCUGUCGUAGGGGAGGAAGGCUCUGCGAAGAACAGGGUUUGACCUAUCCUAGGAGGAAGUACGGGCUAAGUUCGUGCCAGCAGCCGCGGUAAUACGAACCGUACAAACGUUAUUCGGAAUCACUGGGCUUAAAGGGUGCGUAGGCGGCCAUGUAAGUGAGAUGUGAAAUCCCUCGGCUCAACCGAGGAAGUGCAUUUCAUACUGCAUGGCUU